UACAGAGGGUGCAAACGUUUUCCGGAAUUACUGGGCAUAAAGAGCACGUAGGCGGCUCAUCAAGUCACGCGUGAAAUCCCCCGGCUCAACCGGGGAACUGCGCCUGAUACUGGUGGGCUAGAGGACGGUAGGGGUGAGUGGAACUCUAGGUGGAGCGGUGAAAUGCGUAGAUAUCUAGAGGAACACCGGUGGCGAAAGCGGCUCACUGGACCGUAACUGACGCUGAGGUGCGAAAGCUAGGGUAGCAAACGGG
rnacentral:rRNA from 1 species